rnacentral:rRNA from 1 species
AGCGGCAAAAGCUCAAAUUUGAAAUCUGGCGUCUUUGGCGUCCGAGUUGUAAUUUGAAGAAGGUAUCUUUGGGCCCGGCUCUUGUCUAUGUUCCUUGGAACAGGACGUCACAGAGGGUGAGAAUCCCGUGCGAUGAGAUGACCCGGGUCUGUGUAAAGUUCCUUCGACGAGUCGAGUUGUUUGGGAAUGCAGCUCUAAGUGGGUGGUAAAUUCCAUCUAAAGCUAAAUAUUGGCGAGAGACCGAUAGCGAACAAGUACAGUGAUGGAAAGAUGAAAAGAACUUUGAAAAGAGAGUGAAAAAGUACGUGAAAUUGUUGAAAGGGAAGGGCUUGAGAUCAGACUUGGUAUUUUGCAUGCUGCUCUCUCGGGGGCGGCCGCUGCGGUUUACCGGGCCAGCAUCGGUUUGGAGCGGCAGGAUAAUGGCGGAGGAAUGUGGCACGGCUUCUGCUGUGUGUUAUAGCCUCUGACGAUACUGCCAGCCUAGACCGAGGACUGCGGUUUUUACCUAGGAUGUUGGCAUAAUGAUCUUAAGUCGCCCGUCUU